rnacentral:rRNA from 1 species
AUGCUUCUCCUAAAGACUAAGCCAUGCAUGUCUUCGAAUAAGAGGAAGCAAUUCUCUCUGAAUCUGCGAACGGCUCCGCAAACCAGUUGUAAACUAUAGCAAGCAAGCCCGGGCAGCCCUUUGCGGGGAGGCUCGGGCAACACGGAUAUCCCUGGUAAUUCUGAGGCUAAUACGAGAGCGCAAUUCCUGGACGACUGGGGCGACCUAGAAGUCUGGGAGGCGUGCAAGUUAUGUCGCGAGAAAUCGCCGGGAAUGGAUGCACGCCUGGACCGCGCCAAAGACAGAUGGGUGACCCCGGCCUUCACCGGUUAGGGAUGCCUGCCUGAGCGGCUCUUGCUGUGUGCUUCUGACCUAUCAACUAGACGGCAGCGUAAGGGACAUGCUAUGGUUACAACGGGUACAGAGGAUUAGGGUUCGAUCCUGGAGAGUGGGCCUGAGAGAUUGCUCAUACUUCUAAGGAAGGCAGCAGGCGCGCAACGUUCCCCUUGUGCAAUGCAUGAGGGCGUUAGGGGACAUAUGGAUGCCUGCCCAUUGGGUGGGCAAUUCAAAUGGGUCUGUUCUAAACAGGCUC